GCGGAUUUAAACUCGAGUCAAGUGUACCGGCUGAUAAAAGCUGGAAACAUCGCGCGUAACGUGUAAACCGUACGAGACCUGGCCGAGUGUGUUGUUUCGCCCUUAGACCCUACUCGAGCUACAACAACUUCUCUCUCGACCUACGCGCUCCGUAUGUAGACAAAACGAUCUCGUGGCGAUGGAAUAAACAUCGGAAAAUUGCGAAGUUCUUGCGAGGAAAUCGAUCUCUAAAUGGAAUUGCAUUGCUCAGAAUUUGCAAACGAAUUAUUUGUGUGUUGCAUAACGCUGGGAAAUUCACAGAAACAACGGAACAUUCAGAUGACCCGAGACCAAAUAGAACUUCCACAGCGACUUCAACC
rnacentral:misc_RNA from 1 species